UUACCGAGUGAGGGCCCUCUGGGUCCAACCUCCCACCCGUGUUUAUUUUACCUUGUUGCUUCGGCGGGCCCGCCUUAACUGGCCGCCGGGGGGCUUACGCCCCCGGGCCCGCGCCCGCCGAAGACACCCUCGAACUCUGUCUGAAGAUUGUAGUCUGAGUGAAAAUAUAAAUUAUUUAAAACUUUCAACAACGGAUCUCUUGGUUCCGGCAUCGAUGAAGAACGCAGCGAAAUGCGAUACGUAAUGUGAAUUGCAAAUUCAGUGAAUCAUCGAGUCUUUGAACGCACAUUGCGCCCCCUGGUAUUCCGGGGGGCAUGCCUGUCCGAGCGUCAUUUCUGCCCUCAAGCACGGCUUGUGUGUUGGGCCCCGUCCUCCGAUCCCGGGGGACGGGCCCGAAAGGCAGCGGCGGCACCGCGUCCGGUCCUCGAGCGUAUGGGGCUUUGUCACCCGCUCUGUAGGCCCGGCCGGCGCUUGCCGAUCAACCCAAAUUUUUAUCCAGGUUGACCUCGGAUCAGGUAGGGAUACCCGCUGAACUUAAGCAUAUCAAUAAGCGGAGGAAAAGAAACCAACAGGGAUUGCCCCAGUAACGGCGAGUGAAGCGGCAAGAGCUCAAAUUUGAAAGCUGGCUCCUUCGGGGUCCGCAUUGUAAUUUUGUAGAGGAUGCUUCGGGAGCGGUCCCCAUCUAAGUGCCCUGGAACGGGACGUCAUAGAGGGUGAGAAUCCCGUAUGGGGAUGGGGUGUCCGCGCCCGUGUGAAGCUCCUUCGACGAGUC
rnacentral:rRNA from 1 species